ACAGCCAAUUGCCUGAUUGCAGAGUCUAAGGUCUCAAAAUUAAAUCUCAAACAGGAGACUGAAAAGCAAGCAGUCAAUUUGCAAAGACUUAAAUAUAAUAUUGCGGUGGGGAUGGGGCAUGUUGAGACUCAGAAAACAACACCCCAAACUGAAGGCCUCAGAAAGCAGCCUCAAAAGCAAAAGUUUUUCUCUGACCUUCUCCUGCCCUCCUGUCUCUCUAUCCCAUUCUGUCCCCAGGCCAGCCAUAGAAACUAGAAUCCCUCUUCCCCAAGGCGGGUCAGAGAAACAGAACCCCUUUUCUCCAAACCAUAAAACCUAAAAAUAAUUUUCCUUCCACCUUGCUGUGUAAAAACUGUCCAUAAAGAAAUUACCUGACUACCUUGUUUGACUAUAGCUCAUAAGAGCCCCCAUUCCAGAGAGGGUCCUGCCCCAUACCCAGAAGGAAGGAGUGCAGGCUCAGAGAGGCUGAGAAAAAUCUAGACAAACAAGGCUCGCUGGGUUUCCCCACUCAGUCUGGUAGCAUUUGAUCACAGUCUUUUUUGUCCAAUCAUAUUUCUGCCUGGCUGUCCAUACUUUCUUGGACCUAAGCACAAAAAUGAACAAUUUUCCCUGUAUCUUUGGGUCGUCUUUCUGAAGUCUCCUGUGUACACAUGUUAAAUAAAUUCGUGUGCCUUCUCUCCAAUUAAUCUGCCCCUUGUCAGAGAUUUUCAGCAAACCUCCUAAGGAUGAUGGGGAUGUUUUCCCUUGGCCCCUACAGGCAUAUAUUCUUUUUUUUUUUUUUUUAAUCUGUGUGUGUGGGGAGGUCCUUUUGAAAAUUCAAAUGAAAAAGAUGAGUCCCCUUACACUUCCAAAUUUGCAGUGGAAUUUAAAUUUAUUUAUUUAUUUUUUUGAGACAGGGUCUCACUCUGUGGCCCAGGCUGAGUGCAGUGGUGCAGUCUUGGCUCACUGCAACCUCUGCCUCCCAGGUUUAGGUGAUCCUCUCACCUCAGCCUCCCAAGUACCUGGGACCACAGGCUCAUGCCGCCAUGCCUGGCUAACUUUUUUUUUUUUUUUUAUAGAGGCGGGGUUUUGCCAUGUUACCCAGGCUGGUCUCGAACUCCUGAGCUCAAGCGAUCAAUCCUCCCUGGGCUCCCAAAGUGCUGAGAUUACAGGUGUGAGUCACUGCACUUGGCCUGCUCUCUUUUUCUUGCUUAACAUCAGAGUAGCUUUCACACAUUUUUUUAUUCAUUCUCCAACAUUGUGUUUUUAGCCUAAAGACAGUGAUGUCAAUACCUACAGUUGAGCGGAGUCGUUACAAGGCAGCUUAUGUGUCUAAAGUGUCUUGGAAAUCCUGUGCAAACAAAUGAGCAUUUUCCUCAGGUAUGAAAAAGGGUGAUUUAUUCACCCAGAACUUGGGGUUUCUUUAAGAUGUUGAGUAUCCUUUUUAAGAUUUAAAGGGCUGCUUUUUUCUAGUAAAGUCUCAUCCCAGCUGGCAUCACGGGACACGCUGAUCUGGAGCUGUUAUUGAACUGAUGGCCAUUCCCAUGCAGAACGAUGGUACGUUUGGCCUCCUGCUUUGUGGACAAGUAUAAUGGGAUAACCCACAGGAUUUACCCACAAGGUAAAUCCAAGAAAAUUCACUGCAAUGUCUUGUGCUAAUAGUUUAAUGAAAUUGAAAUUCUCCCUCCAGCAAUUUCUGACAGGGCAUGGGGAUUUUCUCCGGUGUCACCAUACUUCAGCAGGAGUGACUGUGUCAUCCAGGUGCAGGUAUUCUUGGUUGUCCUUUACCUGUUGUCUCUUCUUGUCACACAUAGCUAAGAAAGCAGAUGAUAGGUUCAUCUCUAUUACAUGGGGAAUUACCAAGUGGUUGCCUAGCAACUCACACAGCACAGUCAACAUGGUCUCUGUUGUGGAAUGUAGAGUGGUUAGCUUUCUUUUCAAGAAUGUAUUUCCAUACUUCUUUUGGGUUUCUAGAAAAGAAGGUACAUUUCCUGGAUUUGAGGUUAGUAAAAUGGACUUUUGUAUUGCUUUUCCCAGUAUUUAUUCUAUAGUAGGCCAUUAUUGUAACAAACAACAAUUAUCUGAUCAAAUCAUUAAUACAGCAAUUGUUUCACUUUCAUUCAAUUCAGUAAGCAUCUUCUAUGUGCCAUAUACCCUACUAGACACUGUAAGGAAUUAUAAGGAUGCACAAGUGUGGUCCCUGGUCUCAGGGAACCUAAAAUUUAGUGUAGAUGGUUAUAUGUUUAAUAGAUGUGUAUAACUCACUUGUUUACGCAUGCGAAACACAUAGCUAUAUAUGUAUGUAAAAUAAAGGUAUCUUUAUUUGGAAGAGUUCCUUUGUGUUUGAUCAAAGGAAUUUUUGCUUGUAUUUAGAUUACUGCCUUCAUAGCUUACAGCUGCAAUCAGUUCAAAAAGCUGUAAUCAAAAAUUGUAAUCACUUUUAAGACAUAGCUCCUAUUGGAAUCUAAGUAAUUAGCAGCUCUUAAACAGCUCUUGUUGGAAUAUGCCUCUGCCGCUGCUGAUGUUAUCAGAUAGGAUGGUGCUGCUCAGUGUCUGCACUGCAGUCUUUCUGCAUAAUUGCUGCUGUGGCAUUCACAGCUCCCUGCUUCUAUUUCACACAUUCCAGUUUAAAAGAAGCCCCUUGUCUUUCUUUGUCUACUUUGUAACCAUGCAGCUGCCUCUCUCCCCUUGAAGAGGGACUUUGGCAUGUCCCAACUCUUGCGUUAGGGAAUCCUUUGAUUACUUCAGCUAACUUCUUUUCCACUGGAAAGACAGUUGCUAGACAGAGCCUGGGACUUGACUAGCGCCUUUCCCGUGAAUUGACUCAUCUGGUGAAUUGUGGCAUCUUCAUCCUCAGGAAGGUGCCAGGACAUGGAGUGAAGUAAGUGUCCCUUGAUGCAGCUGGUGCCUAUUCGUUAGAUUCUCCUCCUGAGUGAACUGUACUGAGACUCCACUAAGGAAAGAGGAAGCUUUUGUGGAUAGUUGUGCCACAGCCCCAGAAUUCUCUUCCACCAUUUUGGCUAGCGCUCUUUAGUUUCUCUGCUUGCCUUCCCAGUCCCUGUGCAGGGCCUGCCCCUUGAUCGUUUUCUCCGCCGUCCAGUUCCCUUAGAUCCCUUGAGAAAUCAUUUGGACCUCUUGCCUUCACACAGAGCCCCUGACCUUUGCUUCCCAAUACAAUGUCAGCUAGAAGGAAGAGGACAAAGGGUAGAAGGGGACUGUGUGAGACCAAACAUUGUACAGACGUUUUCCUUAAGCUUCCUCAUUUCAUCCUCAUAACCACUUCUCCCUAGCUCUUCACAGCCCCAUUCCACACAUGAAGCUCAAAAAAGUGCUACACAGAUUGCUCUAAUGAGUACUGCCACAGUCUCCUGUCUCAAGUCAGUUUUUCACUUACGAUCAAGCUAACCAACAUUUACUGUGUACUGUGUCCCUCCCAAGGGUUAGGAGCACAGUAAAGCAUAUAUAAGGCCCAGUCUCUUCUCUUAAGGAGUUCCCAGAAUGGUUUUAUAAGUGCUAUAAGAAAGAUUUGGGAACACAAAUAGGAGAUCAGUUAGUUUAGGUAAAGGAUGGGAGAUCAGGAAGAGACACUUAGCCAUUUAGAUCUGGAAGGUUGGCUAACAAGAGAGGGCUCUCUAUUUACCUUUAAAAAUGGGCCUAGGGCUGGGUGCAGUGGCUCACGCCUGUAAUCCCAGCACUUUGGGAGGCUGAGGCGGGCGGAUCACCUGAGGUCAGGAAUUCGAGAACAGCCUGGCCAACAUGAUGAAACCCCGUCACUAAUAAAAAUACAAAAAAAAAAAAAAAGGCCGGGCGUGGUGGCUCACGCCUGUGAUCCCAGCACUUUGGGAGGCUGAGGCAGGUGGAUCACAAGGUCAGGUGUUCAAGACCAGCCUGGCCAACAUAGUGAAACCCUGUCUCUACUAAAAAAAUAAAAAUAAAAAUAAAUAAUUAGCUGGGCGUGGUAGCAGGCGCCUGUAAUCCCAGUUACUUGGGAGGCUGAGGCAGGAGAAUUGCUUGAACCUGGAAGGCGGAGGUUGCAGUGAGCUGAGAUCGCACCACUGCACUCCAGCCCGGGCAACAGCGUGAGAUUCCAUCUCAAAAAAAAAAAAAGUAGCUGGGUGCAGUGGCGCACAGCUGCAGUCCCAGCUACUCGGGAGGCUGAGGCAGGAGAAUCGCUUGAACCCAGGAGCGGGAGGUUGCAGUGAGCCGAGAUUGCGCCACUGCAGUCCAGCCUGGGUGACAGAGUGAGACUCUGUCUCAAAAAAAAAAAAGAAAAAAAAAGGCCUAGAAAAAGCUGGGUGUUGGCCAGGCAUGGUGGCACACGCCUGUAAUCUCAACACUUUGGGAUGCCGAGGCAGGCGAAUCACCUGAGGUCAGGAGUUCAAGACCAGCCUGGCCAACAUGGUGAAAGCCCAUCUCUACUAAAAAAUACAAAAAUUAGCUGGGUAUGGUUGCAGCCGCCUAUAAUCCCAGCUACUUGGGAGGCUGAGGCAGGAGAAUCGCUUGAACCCGGGAGGCGAAGGUUGCAGUGAGGUGAGAUCAAACCAUUGCACUCCGGCAUGGGCAAGAGAGCAAGACUUUGUCAAAAAAAAAAGAAAAAAAGGAAGAAGGGAAGGAAGGAAGGAAGGAAGGAAGGAAGGAAGGAAGGCGGGAAGGAAGGAAAAGCUGGAUGCAGUGGUGAAUGCCUGUAGUCUGAGACCAGGCUGGGCAACAUAGCAAGACCUCAUCUCUAAAAAUAAUAAUAAAUAAAAUAAAAAUUAAUGAUGGACCCAGAGCAGAGAUCUGUUGCCCUUUGAUGUUGGGAAAUCCUUUAUUGCUUGAAUCUAAAUCCUUUAUGCUGCAGUUUACACCGUAUUUCCUCUCGUUUCAACUUCAGUUAAAAUAGCGAAAAUCUGGCCUAAUACCCUAGUCACUCAGAGGUUUUUUAGCAAGUCAUAUCUGGCUCACUACCCUAGCAUAGAAAAGAAACUAUUUUCCUCUCACCCCAAAACCCUGCAGCUAGACUUUUCUAGCUGCUGCACUAUGAACAGUUUCUAAGAGAUUCCUCCCACUAGAGCCUUCCCUAGAAGGGUGGAGGUGGGCAGGGCAAUCAGCGAAUCGGGCGGCCUGCCCCAGAUAACUGCACUUGGAAAGAGUCUGCAUUGUAAGCAUUUCUCAUGGUGUCUUCACUGAAGACAGAAUUUUUGAAGUUAAAUGACAUAUGAAAGACAGGAAUAAAGUACAGUGUCUCACAACAUCCUGUAAGAGAUUUUUACCAGCCUAUGGGUCAUAUUAACCAAGGAGGUCAUAUUGACAUCCAGACCUAAAUUUCAUUAGCUCUGGUCUCCUACUGAAGGUCUAUAGAACUUGCUAGCCAUCCCCUCGCCCUGCUAACUCACCCUUAGUUAUUUCUGGGAGACCCCCGAACUAUCUCCCAUAGGUUCAUAGGCAAAUCCACUAUGUUCUUCCCCUUCAGCCUCCCCAUUCCUGGUCUGCUAUUCACAAGCUCCUUAAAAGGGGGUACCUCAUCAGUGUCUGUGGCCUCCAUAAGAACAUUGUUCUUGCAGUGGUCACUCCUGUUGCCCUGCUGGGAACAGCAUUCUCUCCCUUCUCUCCUGGGGCCACUCUAAGCCAGCAGGUCACCAAAGUGGAGGGUGGGAUAGGGCAGCAGGGACCUCUCACAGACUGGCUGCACUUCGUUAAGU
rnacentral:lncRNA from 1 species